UCCCUGGUAGUAUAUCGGUUAGUACACGCGCCUGUCACCUCACGGUUGUUUAGAAUGCCGCGCGAAAGCUGGGUUCGACUCCCAGCCAGGGAG